CCUACGGGCGGCAGCAGUAGGGAAUCUUCCACAAUGGGCGAAAGCCUGAUGGAGCAACGCCGCGUGGGUGAAGAAGGUCUUCGGAUCGUAAAACCCUGUUGUUAGAGAAGAAAGUGCGUGAGAGUAACUGUUCACGUUUCGACGGUAUCUAACCAGAAAGCCACGGCUAACUACGUGCCAGCAGCCGCGGUAAUACGUAGGUGGCAAGCGUUAUCCGGAGUUAUUGGGCGUAAAGGUAACGCAGCCGGUCAUUUAAGUCUGACGUGAAAGCCGUCGGCUUAACCGGAGUAGUGCAUUGGAAACUGGGAGGCUGGAGUGCAGAAGAGGAGAGUGGAACUCCAUGUGUAGCGGUGAAAUGCGUAGAUAUAUGGAAGAACACCAGUGGCGAAAGCGGCUCACUGGACUGUAACUGACGCUGAGGUUCGAAAGCGUGGGUAUCAAACAGGAUUAGAUACCCGAGUAGUC
rnacentral:rRNA from 1 species